UUGAACGCUGGCGGCAGGCCUAACACAUGCAAGUCGAGCGGAUGAAGGGAGCUUGCUCCUGGAUUCAGCGGCGGACGGGUGAGUAAUGCCUAGGAAUCUGCCUGGUAGUGGGGGAUAACGUCCGGAAACGGGCGCUAAUACCGCAUACGUCCUGAGGGAGAAAGUGGGGGAUCUUCGGACCUCACGCUAUCAGAUGAGCCUAGGUCGGAUUAGCUAGUUGGUGGGGUAAAGGCCUACCAAGGCGACGAUCCGUAACUGGUCUGAGAGGAUGAUCAGUCACACUGGAACUGAGACACGGUCCAGACUCCUACGGGAGGCAGCAGUGGGGAAUAUUGGACAAUGGGCGAAAGCCUGAUCCAGCCAUGCCGCGUGUGUGAAGAAGGUCUUCGGAUUGUAAAGCACUUUAGGUUGGGAGGAAGGGCAGUAAGUUAAUACCUUGCUGUUUUGACGUUACCAACAGAAUAAGCACCGGCUAACUUCGUG
rnacentral:rRNA from 1 species